rnacentral:rRNA from 1 species
CCUACGGGUGGCAGCAGUGAGGAAUAUUGGUCAAUGGCCGUAAGUCUGAACCAGCCAAGUAGCGUGAGGGAAGACUGCCCUAUGGGUUGUAAACCUCUUUUAUGUGGGGAUAAAGGUGUCCACGUGUGGCUGUUUGUAGGUACCGCAUGAAUAAGGACCGGCUAAUUCCGUGCCAGCAGCCGCGGUAAUACGGAAGGUCCGGGCGUUAUCCGGAUUUAUUGGGUUUAAAGGGAGCGUAGGCCGGUCUUUAAGCGUGCCGUGAAAUUUUGUGGCUCAACCAUGGGAGUGCAGCGCGAACUGGAGGCCUUGAGUGCGCGGAAGGCAGGCGGAAUUCGUGGUGUAGCGGUGAAAUGCUUAGAUAUCACGAAGAACCCCGAUUGCGAAGGCAGCCUGCCGGAGCGUAACUGACGCUGAGGCUCGAAAGCGCGGGUAUCGAACAGGAUUAGAUACCCCUGUAGUU